rnacentral:lncRNA from 1 species
CUACAUAAAAUAUAGGGAAAACUUCAAAAACCCCCCCUGUGGUUUCGUGCAUUCUCACUUUGCUACCCUGUGGUUUAAAAUGUAUCAAUUUGCCCCCCUGUGGUUUCGUUUUUAUCUUUUUGUUAUCAAUUUUAUUAUUAUUUUUUUUUAAAAUCAGUGACAAAGUUAAAAUUAAAGGAUACUAAAGUGACUAUUUGAUAAAUAUAGAUGGUUAUCUGAAAUUUUUUGUAUAUAAUUUAACGAAAUAUUAACGAAAAAGCUUCCGAAAAGAUAAAAAUGAAACCACAGGGGGGUAAAUUGAUACGUUUUAAACCACAUGGUAGCAAAGUGAGAAUGCACGAAACCACAGGGGGGGUUUUUGAAGUUUUCCCUAAAAUAUAAA